GAUGAACGCUGGCGGCGUGCCUAAUACAUGCAAGUCGAGCGAACGGACGAGAAGCUUGCUUCUCUGAUGUUAGCGGCGGACGGGUGAGUAACACGUGGAUAACCUACCUAUAAGACUGGGAUAACUUCGGGAAACCGUAGCUAAUACCGGAUAAUAUUUUGAACCGCAUGGUUCAAAAGUGAAAGACGGUCUUGCUGUCACUUAUAGAUGGAUCCGCGCUGCAUUAGCUAGUUGGUAAGGUAACGGCUUACCAAGGCAACGAUGCAUAGCCGACCUGAGAGGGUGAUGGGCCACACUGGAACGGAGACACGGUCCAGACUCCUACGGGAGGCAGCAGCAGGGAAUGUUCCGCAAUGGGCGAAAGCCUGAAGGAGCAACGAAGCGUGAGUGAUGAAGGUCUUCGGAUCGUAAAACUCUGUUAUUAGGGAAGAACAUAUGUGUAAGUAACUGUGCACAUCUUGACGGUACCUAAUCAGAAAGCCACGGCUAACUACGUG
rnacentral:rRNA from 1 species